rnacentral:rRNA from 1 species
ACGGGAGGCAGCAGUGGGGAAUUUUUCACAAUGGGCGAAAGCCUGAUGGAGCAAUCCUGCGUGGAUGAUGAAGGCCCUCUGGGUCGUAAAAUCCUUUUAUAAGGGACGAAUGGCUAGACUAGGAAAUGAGUUUAGUUUGACUGUACCUUUUGAAUAAGUAACGGCUAACUAUGUGCCAGCAGCCGCGGUAAUACAUAGGUUACAAGCGUUAUCCGGAUUUACUGGGCGUAAAGCGAGCGCAGAUGGACCAACAAGUCUGGUGUUAAAGACUAAGGCUUAACCUUAGCAUGCAUUGGAAACUGUAGGUCUAGAGUUUGAUAGGAAGUUUUAGAACUCCAUGUGGAGCGGUGGAAUGCGCAGAUAUAUGGAAGAAUACCGGUGGUGAAAACGAAAACUUAGGUCACAACUGACAUUUAGGCUCGAAAGUGUGGGGAGCAAAUAGGAUUAGAUACCCUGGUA